rnacentral:lncRNA from 1 species
UAUUCCUGUGUAUUAUUAAUAGUCUGAAGCUUGGAAAUAGAUGCAAUAGUCAUUAGAGUGAAGAAAAUACAGUGUCGUGCUCUCUGAAGGAUAACAAGGACCUUUUUGUUGUAAUUACUCUGAUGUCUUUGAUAUUUUUCUUUAUCUGGCCUAGUCUGAGACCAGUACUUUCCCCUGCCUGUGACCCCUGACUUCAUUUGCAAAGUUUUCUCAUGCACUUUCUGAAAUUUUCAUGACAGAGAGCCCUGGAGGAAUUUGGGGCAAUGAUGGAGGUG